rnacentral:rRNA from 1 species
GGUUAAGCGACUAAGCGUACACGGUGGAUGCCCUGGCAGUCAGAGGCGAUGAAGGACGUGCUAAUCUGCGAAAAGCGUCGGUAAGGUGAUAUGAACCGUUAUAACCGGCGAUGUCCGAAUGGGAAACCCAGUGCAAUUCGUUGCACUAUCGUUAACUGAAUACAUAGGUUAACGAGGCGAACCGGGGAACUGAAACAUCUAAGUACCCCGAGGAAAAGAAAUCAACCGAGAUUCCCCAGUAGCGGCGAGCGAACGGGGAGCAGCCCAGAGUCUGAAUCAGCUUGUGUGUUAGUGGAACGGUCUGGAAAGUCCGACGGUACAGGGUGAUAGUCCCGUACACCAAAAUGCACAGGUUGUGAACUCGAAGAGUAGGGCGGGACACGUGGUAUCCUGUCUGAAUAUGGGGACCAUCCUCCAAGGCUAAAUACUCCUGACUGACCGAUAGUGAACCAGUACCGUGAGGGAAAGGCGAAAAGAACCCCGGCGAGGGAGUGAAAAAGAACCUGAAACCGUGUACGUACAAGCAGUGGGAGCACCUUCGGGUGUGACUGCGUACCUUUGUAUAAUGGGUCAGCGACUUAUAUUCUGUAGCAAGGUUAACCGUAUAGGGAGCCGCAGGGAAACCGAGUCUUAACUGGGCGUUAAGUUGCAGGGUAUAGACCCGAAACCCGGUGAUCUAGCCAUGGGCAGGUUGAAGGUUGGGUAACACUAACUGGAGGACCGAACCGACUAAUGUUGAAAAAUUAGCGGAUGACUUGUGGCUGGGGUGAAAGGCCAAUCAAACCGGGAGAUAGCUGGUUCUCCCGAAAGCUAUUUAGGUAGCGCCUCGUGAAUUCAUCUUCGGGGUAGAGCACUGUUUCGGCUAGGGGUCAUCCCGACUUACCAACCCGAUGCAAACUACGAAUACCGAAGAAUGUUAUCACGGGAGACACACGGCGGGUGCUAACGUCCGUCGUGAAGAGAAACAACCCAGACCGCCAGCUAAGGUCCCAAAGUCAUGGUUAAGUGGGAAACGAUGUGGGAAGGCACAGACAGCCAGGAUGUUGGCUUAGAAGCAGCCAUCAUUUAAAGAAAGCGUAAUAGCUCACUGGUCGAGUCGGCCUGCGCGGAAGAUGUAACGGGGCUAAACCAUGCACCGAAGCUGCGGCAGCGACACUAUGUGUUGUUGGGUAGGGAGCGUUCUGUAAGCCUGCGAAGGUGUGCUGUGAGGCAUGCUGGAGGUAUCAGAAGUGCGAAUGCUGACAUAAGUAACGAUAAAGCGGGUGAAAAGCCCGCUCGCCGGAAGACCAAGGGUUCCUGUCCAACGUUAAUCGGGGCAGGGUGAGUCGACCCCUAAGGCGAGGCCGAAAGGCGUAGUCGAUGGGAAACAGGUUAAUAUUCCUGUACUUGGUGUUACUGCGAAGGGGGACGGAGAAGGCUAUGUUAGCCGGGCGACGGUUGUCCCGGUUUAAGCAUGUAGGCUGAUUAUCCAGGCAAAUCCGGAUAAUCAAGGCUGAGGUGUGAUGACGAGGCACUACGGUGCUGAAGUAACAAAUGCCCUGCUUCCAGGAAAAGCCUCUAAGCAUCAGGUAACAUCAAAUCGUACCCCAAACCGACACAGGUGGUCAGGUAGAGAAUACCAAGGCGCUUGAGAGAACUCGGGUGAAGGAACUAGGCAAAAUGGUGCCGUAACUUCGGGAGAAGGCACGCUGGUGUGUAGGUGAAGCCCCUGCGGGUGGAGCUGAGACCAGUCGAAGAUACCAGCUGGCUGCAACUGUUUAUUAAAAACACAGCACUGUGCAAACACGAAAGUGGACGUAUACGGUGUGACGCCUGCCCGGUGCCGGAAGGUUAAUUGAUGGGGUUAUCCGUAAGGAGAAGCUCUUGAUCGAAGCCCCGGUAAACGGCGGCCGUAACUAUAACGGUCCUAAGGUAGCGAAAUUCCUUGUCGGGUAAGUUCCGACCUGCACGAAUGGCGUAAUGAUGGCCAGGCUGUCUCCACCCGAGACUCAGUGAAAUUGAACUCGCUGUGAAGAUGCAGUGUACCCGCGGCAAGACGGAAAGACCCCGUGAACCUUUACUAUAGCUUGACACUGAACAUUGAGCCUUGAUGUGUAGGAUAGGUGGGAGGCUUUGAAGCGUGGACGCCAGUCUGCGUGGAGCCAACCUUGAAAUACCACCCUUUAAUGUUUGAUGUUCUAACGUUGGCCCCUGACCGGGGUUGCGGACAGUGUCUGGUGGGUAGUUUGACUGGGGCGGUCUCCUCCCAAAGCGUAACGGAGGAGCACGAAGGUUAGCUAAUCCUGGUCGGACAUCAGGAGGUUAGUGCAAUGGCAUAAGCUAGCUUGACUGCGAGCGUGACGGCGCGAGCAGGUGCGAAAGCAGGUCAUAGUGAUCCGGUGGUUCUGAAUGGAAGGGCCAUCGCUCAACGGAUAAAAGGUACUCCGGGGAUAACAGGCUGAUACCGCCCAAGAGUUCAUAUCGACGGCGGUGUUUGGCACCUCGAUGUCGGCUCAUCACAUCCUGGGGCUGAAGUAGGUCCCAAGGGUAUGGCUGUUCGCCAUUUAAAGUGGUACGCGAGCUGGGUUUAGAACGUCGUGAGACAGUUCGGUCCCUAUCUGCCGUGGGCGCUGGAGAAUUGAGGGGCUGCUCCUAGUACGAGAGGACCGGAGUGGACGCAUCACUGGUGUUCGGGUUGUCAUGCCAAUGGCACUGCCCGGUAGCUAAAUGCGGAAGAGAUAAGUGCUGAAAGCAUCUAAGCACGAAACUUGCCCCGAGAUGAGUUCUCCUGAGACUUUAAGUCUCCUGAAGGAACGUUGAAGACGACGACGUUGAUAGGCCGGGUGUGUAAGCGCAGCGAUGCGUUGAGCUAACCGGUACUAAUGAACCGUGAGGCUUAACCUU